GUUCACUUAGGCAGCACGGACACUACAACUGGAACGAUACAGAGAAGAUUAGCAUGCCCCUGCACAAGGAUGACACACAGAUUUGUGAAGCGUUUCAUAUUUCU